rnacentral:rRNA from 1 species
GAUGAACGCUAGCGGCAGGCCUAAUACAUGCAAGUCGAGGGGUAGAGAGAGCUUGCUCUCUUGAGACCGGCGCACGGGUGCGUAACGCGUAUGCAACCUACCUUUAUCUGGGGGAUAGCCCGAAGAAAUUCGGAUUAACACCGCAUAAAAUCACAGAACGGCAUCGUUCAAUGAUCAAAUAUUCAUAGGAUAGAGAUGGGCAUGCGUGCCAUUAGUUAGUUGGCGGGGUAACGGCCCACCAAGACCGCGAUGGUUAGGGGAUCUGAGAGGAUGGCCCCCCACACUGGUACUGAGACACGGAUCAGACUCCUACGGGAGGCAGCAGUAAGGAAUAUUGGUCAGUGGAGGCAACUCUGAACCAGCCAUGCCGCGUGCAGGAAGACAGCCCUCUGGGUCGUAAACUGCUUUUAUUCGGGAAUAAACCUGCUUACGUGUAAGUAGCUGAAUGUACCGAAGGAAUAAGGAUCGGCUAACUCCGUGCCAGCCGCCGCGGUAAGAC